AUGUGAACGUUACCAAACUGUUGCCUCGGCGGGGUCACGCCCCGGGUGCGUAAAAGCCCCGGAACCAGGCGCCCGCCGGAGGAACCAACCAAACUCUUUCUGUAGUCCCCUCGCGGACGUAUUUCUUACAGCUCUGAGCAAAAAUUCAAAAUGAAUCAAAACUUUCAACAACGGAUCUCUUGGUUCUGGCAUCGAUGAAGAACGCAGCGAAAUGCGAUAAGUAAUGUGAAUUGCAGAAUUCAGUGAAUCAUCGAAUCUUUGAACGCACAUUGCGCCCGCCAGUAUUCUGGCGGGCAUGCCUGUCCGAGCGUCAUUUCAACCCUCGAACCCCUCCGGGGGAUCGGCGUUGGGGAUCGGGACCCCUCACCGGGUGCCGGCCCUGAAAUACAGUGGCGGUCUCGCCGCAGCCUCUCCUGCGCAGUAGUUUGCACAACUCGCACCGGGAGCGCGGCGCGUCCACGUCCGUAAAACACCCAACUUCUGAAAUGUUGACCUCGGAUCAGGUAGGAAUACCCGCUGAACUUAAGCAUAUCAAUAAGCGGAGGAAAAGAAACCAACCCACCC
rnacentral:rRNA from 1 species